AACCACCAUCACAGAAACCACCCACACCACGUCAAUGUAAAAUCACCGUCACAGUAACCACACCAUCACACACCAAACUCCGAAACCAAUAACGUCCACUGCUGCCAGAAAACGACCCAUAACUCCUCUGGCAAGAUGCACCCAUUGUGCUCAACAUCAAUAGCCUGGAAAAUCCUGUACAAUUCUAGCUCCUUAUCAUCCAUAUAUUUCCUGAACUCCUGAUAAUCCACCCU
rnacentral:lncRNA from 1 species